GUUUUAUCAACGGAUUGUUUUAUCCACCUUUCGAUGGCUCAUUGUAGCCGAGACCACUUCCGCUUUCCUCUCUUCAGCCACCAAUCAGAGAGGAAAAUGUGGCACCACUUCGACCAAUGAGGAUGGAGCAUAAACAGGAAGAGGAGGGCGCCGUCUACACAGAAAAAAAUGGAAAGUGCGGUCCAAACAUGAACAAGAAGUGGGGCCCUUUGAAACAAUGUGGAACGGAACUUACGAAAGUCUGUCUAAAUUAAUGUAAUAUCUGUUGUAUUACCUUGAGGAUAAACGCACACGCACAUACUGAUUUUUAGUAUUUACAUAUUAGUCUUGUUUUUAAAAUGUGAGCAACAAAAAAAAAAUCGGCAAUGUUACUUACUGCAGAAACCAAUUUAGCGGCUAGCCACUGUAGUACUACAAGUUGUCAAAAUCGUGGUGGUGACGUGCCUUGUUGCAAAUUCUUCUCCUUGUCCUUUCUGUUGUUGUGGAUGUUGUGAGGCAUGUGAAAAGAACACACAACACAACUGAGUUGUUUGUUUGCCGAUGCACUUAAUGGAUUCGCAAAUUAAAAUCUUGAACUUG